rnacentral:rRNA from 1 species
AGAGUUUGAUCAUGGCUCAGGAUGAACGCUGGCGGCGUGCUUAACACAUGCAAGUCGAACGAACCUUCGGGUUAGUGGCGGACGGGUGAGUAACGCGUGGGAAUCUGCCCUCAGGAGGGGGAUAACGGCUGGAAACGGCCGCUAAUACCCCAUAUGCCGAGAGGUGAAAUGAAUUUCGCCUGAGGAUGAGCCCGCGUCUGAUUAGCUAGUUGGUGAGGUAAGAGCUCACCAAGGCAUCGAUCAGUAGCUGGUCUGAGAGGAUGAUCAGCCACACUGGGACUGAGACACGGCCCAGACUCCUACGGGAGGCAGCAGUGGGGAAUUUUCCGCAAUGGGCGAAAGCCUGACGGAGCAACGCCGCGUGAGGGAUGAAGGCCUCUGGGCUGUAAACCUCUUUUCUCAAGGAAUGAA